rnacentral:lncRNA from 1 species
GGACAAUGCACUGCCUAAUUCUAUGGCGUUUAACUGGUUUCUAAAUUCCAUCACUUUACCUAGUAUAUAGAAGGGUGCUGGUUUGUGUACAGAAAAAAAAAAAGAAGAAUCUGUGGAUUAAGUUCACAAUCCAGAUGUAAUGAGUUUGUUUAUAUGUAUACGAUGAAAUAAAGCUCAGUUCUAACAUCGAUGACCCAUACUACUUAAUAGAUGGAAUUUAUUUUCUCUAUUUUCUUGUCUUAAUAUAUCAGUUAAAAGUAGUUAAAAUUGUAGGAUUGUACUUUAACUAUCUCAUUUGAAAAUUAAUUGUUGUUCAUUGAGG